CAGAAGUUCAGAAAAGGGGAAACGACUUCUGGAAUGAGUUUGAUUUUGGGAAGCUUCAACUCGAUCAAACUCGAAUUGGUGGCUCUAGAGUUGUGAUUGUUUGGUGUUCUUCUUCGAACUAAAGGGACAAGUGUGGAAGCCAAUUAAUGGAUGGCUGCAUUGCUGGUGAACUGCUGGAUUGAAGACUGGAAGAAUGGCUACUAAGUUGCUGUAUUAGAAUUAGGACUUUCUAUUUCAUUGCAUAUUUGUACUUGAAUUUGGACUUCGUAUUUAAAUUUGGACACUUUGUAUUUCAAUUGUAGCUUUAAUUGUUCUUGAUAAGUACUUGAAUUUGGAUAUUAUGUAUUAUGGA